rnacentral:misc_RNA from 1 species
CCCUGAUCCUUUGCACAUAUUACACCGCAAUGCCUGCCACCCAUUGCAAGUCCGACAAUUCCUUUGACAUAUCACCUUCUUUCCCAGCUCCAAAGCAAUAUCGUAGGUUCCANNNNNUAGCAACAGCAAAGACAGAAAGAUAAGAGAGCUUGGAUAUGAGCUCAGGGACACCAAAGCCGCGAGGAGCAGAGCCAGCAAUGUCAAAGGCAAGAGUGAAAGGAGACAAGACCACCUUAAUUGGGAACUCGAAAAUGUCAAUCAAUUGCUGGCCAUAAUGGGAUGUUAUGUGCUUGUAUUGCCUGUCUGCGAACUGCUUCACAUUCUUUAUGAGACGUUCUGUUCCUCUUGACAUGGCUGAGGCCUACGCCGACGGAAGAGACGACAGGAGCAG